AGAGGAAGAGGAGGAGGACAAAAGGAGAGGAGAGGAAGAGGAGGAGGAAAAGGAGGAGGAAGAGGAGCAGGGGAAGAAGAGGAGAGACAGCCCAGCGGCCCGCCUUUCCACCCCCUCCCAUCCCCCUCCAGCCCCUCUCAUCCCCCUCCAGCCCCUCCUAGCCCCGCAGUCCCUCCCAGCCCUUCCCAGCACCCCCCAGCCCCUUCCCGCCCCACCACGCCCUUCCCAACCCCCCAGCCCCUCCCAGUCCCCCCAGUCCCCUCGCCGGGGGGGGGAGGCGGGGCUGCAGGAGGAGCCCCGCUGUCCCGCCCCCCCCCGGCCCUUCCCGCCGUCCCGGGGCGGCUCCCGGCAGCGGAGGGUCCCGCUGGCUGCGGCGGAGCUGCCGCCGCUCCGGGCCCGAUGCUGCCCCCCCCACCCCUCCUCCUCCUCCUCCUCCUCCUCCUCCUCCUCCUCCCCGGCAGCCCGGCGGCCGGCCCGGCGGUCACCGCCCGCACGCUUUCUCCGUGCUACUCUGCUGACCUCAGGCCGGCUUCGGAGAGGCUUGUCUCGGCCGUGGGCUGCACUGUGCUUUUGACAAUACCGCCGCUGAAUGCCACCGAAGCUGUCUUCUGGGAAUACAAAGCCGGCCUGCAGGAAGGAGUCAUCGUCAAUUAUGCUUUCGACAGACCCGCCAACACGUCUCGCCCCUACAAGGAUCGCACGAGGUUCAACGAAACGGACUUCUCGCUGCAGAUCGUGCUGCAGCGGGGAGACGACCGGCUCUACCGGUUCAGGUCCGAGUCGGAGGCCACGGGCUGGUUCCAGCUGCGCGUUGUCGAACCGCUGUCGGAGCCAGAAAUCGUGGGCAACUCAUCGGUGAAGGCAGGAGGCAACACCAAACUGGUUUGCAAUGUCCAGGAAGGGAAGGCAGACUUGUACUGGUGGAAGAAGAACGGGGAGCUGCUGCUGGGAAGCGACCACAUCCAGUUCGUUGACAAUGCCACCCUGUGCAUCGUUAAAGCCUCGAUGAACGACAGCGGCUACUACGCUUGCGUGGUCCGCAACGAAGUCAGCCAGAACGAAACCUCCUUCCUGCUCCACGUCCAGAACGCUGCGAACGUGGUGUUGCCCGUGAUCCUGGCGUGUGUUAUGAUCGGCUUGCUCGCAGGUGUCUUCGUCUGGUGCAGGAGAAGGGACCGCCAGUAUCACGAUGGCUGUAGGGCUUGAGAGGUUUCUGGGAAGCGAGUGAUUCUCAAAAUCUUCUCGGAGCUUGCUCACUCUAUGUGACCACAAAAAGCUCAGGCUGUUAACUGAAGCUUCCUGGAGGUAGAGCGUGAGCGGCUGUGCCCUUGCUGCCUUCCCCUGAUGGUGGUGGUGGGUGCUGCGUGGGGAGCCGCCGGCCGUCUGAUGCUGUCCCGACCCCUUCUGGGCUCACCUCUGAACCGCUCAAGCUGCUGAACCCCACAGAAGUUUGUAAAACACUGGCUUGGACUAUUUCCGUGUUGUCCUGCCCUUCCCCAGAGCCCCUUGUGCAUCCCUGGGGGAGAGGUGGGCCCAUGGCUGGAGACCCGGCUGCUGCUGUGCUCCAGCCCGGCUACAUCUCCCGGGUAGGUGCUUGCACACGGGCUGGAAGGAGCCACCGUCCCCGCCGGACAAACACACGGUCCUGGGGCUGCUGGCGAGUGCCGCGGUGCCAGGGCUUGAGCCCCUCGCCGUGGCCGCCUGGUGCGCUGCUGUGCCUGGCAUUGCCAGGGCGGCUCGGGCUGAGGCCGUGGGCAUUCUGCUCGGUUUGGCCCUCGGAGCGAGGCAAAAAGGGCAGGAUUUUGCUGUCCUGUGCGCUGGGGAGUCCAGGAGAUGAGUGGAGCCAGCGGAGGGCGGCAGGGAUGGAGGAGCAGCGAAGCAGUUUUGUUUUAGAAAGCAAACCCCAAAGAAAUCCCUGUGGCCGGCUGCGUUAGAGCCGUGUCGCAGCCCGGUGUGGGAGGCGUAGGGAUGCUCCCGAGCCCACCUCCUCUGUCUUCCAGCCUCAGGCUCCAGUGGCACCUGGGGACAUCCCUUCCUCUUCCAAGCACUAGCCGCCUGGGUCGUACGUGUGCCGCUGCAAGCUUGUCCUUUCCUUUUGCCGCUGCUGCGGUGGUGGUAGAUUUGAUCUGGUUCGAUAAGGCCAGGGCAGCCCUGCUUCCAGCCCCUGUCACUGUUGCCUCCCUUGCCCGUGCUGCUUCUGCAAAGCUCUUCUGGGUUUUGCUUGUGAAGGGGUCUUUAUUAGUUCUUGUAGUUGAAUUACUUAGCCUGGAGGCUCAACUGGCAUCUUCACCCUGGAGAAAACUGGAUGCUCUCCCAGGAAUGCUGGACCUCCCACCGUGCCUUGCUCAAGGUCAGGCCGGGGCGUUUGCACCCAUCUUUCGUUCUGAUGGGGACAACCCCAGGUCCAGCACCCUGUCUGAGCCGGUCCCCAGCACCUCUGCAGGGGGCAGGCGUUUUGGGUGCCCUGGUCUAGCCACUGGAUGGUCACUCCUGCCCCAGAGCAGCUGGUGGCUUGGGGACCUCUCCUUGCCCCGAGCAAAGGGAGAGCGUGCUUGGGUCUUGCCUGGAGACCUGAUUCUGCAGCAAAGGGCUCUCCUGGCCAGGGGAGCAGCGGGUUUCCCUCUCCUGGGGGUUACCCCUUCCCUGUGGAGAACAGAAGCGCACCUGGGAGAGGCUCAAAUUGUAUCCCGCGGCGGCAGCAGUCGCUAAGCUGUCCUACGCCACUUUCCGGGGCAAACAGGAAAAUUAUGAGAGAAACUGGCUCGUGGCUUGACCAUCUUGGACGCUGCCUGCUCUGCCCCUGCUCUGGCUGACGGUGCAGCGAAGCUCUGUCCCUGGGUGAUAGCCGGGAUAUAAAGGGGCUGGCAGCAGAGGUCCAUCUCUCAGCCUGGGAUUUCAUGUUGCAGUUAAAGCGUUAAAGGGAGCAGAGCAGUUUGGGUGGAGCAAACUAGAUUUCAACCUCAGUUUUAAGCUGCGAUGCAGGUUGUCAAGUUCCCUGUUGCACUUGCAGGAAUAAGACGAAUGCAGCCACAGGUUUUACAAGAAACACUUUCCUCAACUUUUUGGAGAGUCGUCUGUAAAUCAUUCUGGAGCUGCUCUGUGUUUUUUAAUGUCUGUUGCUACUAUUAAAAGUGUGUGUGUUAUCCCA